rnacentral:rRNA from 1 species
UAGGGAAUAUUGCACAAUGGGCGAAAGCCUGAUGCAGCAACGCCGCGUGCGCGAUGAAGGUCUUCGGAUCGUAAAGCGCUUUUCUGGGAGAUGAGAAAGGACAGUAUCCCAGGAAUAAGUCUCGGCUAACUACGUGCCAGCAGCCGCGGUAACACGUAGGAGGCGAGCGUUAUCCGGAUUCACUGGGCGUAAAGCGCGUGCAGGCGGUUCGGUAAGUUGGGCGUGAAAUCUCCCGGCUCAACUGGGAGAGGUCGUCCAAUACUACCGAACUUGAGAGCGAUAGAGGAAAAUGGAAUUCCCGGUGUAGUGGUGAAAUGCGUAGAUAUCGGGAGGAACACCAGUGGCGAAAGCGAUUUUCUGGAUCGUUUCUGACGCUCAGACGCGAAAGCUAGGGUAGCAAACGGG